UACAGAGGGUGCAAGCGUUGUUCGGAAUUAUUGGGCGUAAAGCGCGUGUAGGCGGCUUUGCAAGUCGGGUGUGAAAGCCCUCAGCUCAACUGAGGAAGUGCGCCCGAAACUGCAGAGCUUGAGUACCGGAGAGGAUGGCGGAAUUCCCCAAGUAGAGGUGAAAUUCGUAGAUAUGGGGAGGAACACCCGUGGCGAAAGCGGCUCUCUGGGACGGUACUGACGCUGAGACGCGAAAGCGUGGGGAGCAAACAGG
rnacentral:rRNA from 1 species